rnacentral:tRNA from 5 species
GCUCGGAUGGCGGAAUUGGUAUACGCACAGGACUUAAAAUCCUGGGCCCGCAAGGGAUUGAGGGUUCGACUCCCUCUCCGAGCA